rnacentral:rRNA from 1 species
AGAGUUUGAUCCUGGCUCAGGAUGAACGCUAGCUACAGGCUUAACACAUGCAAGUCGAGGGGCAGCAUGGUCUUAGCUUGCUAAGGCCGAUGGCGACCGGCGCACGGGUGAGUAACGCGUAUCCAACCUGCCUUACACUCUUGGACAGCCUUCUGAAAGGGAGAUUAAUACAAGAUGUUAUCAUGAGUAAGCAUUUUCGCAUGAUUAAAGGUUUACCGGUGUAAGAUGGGGAUGCGUUCCAUUAGAUAGUAGGCGGGGUAACGGCCCACCUAGUCUUCGAUGGAUAGGGGUUCUGAGAGGAAGGUCCCCCACAUUGGAACUGAGACACGGUCCAAACUCCUACGGGAGGCAGCAGUGAGGAAUAUUGGUCAAUGGACGAGAGUCUGAACCAGCCAAGUAGCGUGAAGGAUGAAGGUUCUAUGGAUUGUAAACUUCUUUUAUACGGGAAUAAACGAAUCCACGCGUGGAUUUUUGCAUGUACCGUAUGAAUAAGGAUCGGCUAACUCCGUGCCAGCAGCCGCGGUAAUACGGAGGAUCCGAGCGUUAUCCGGAUUUAUUGGGUUUAAAGGGAGCGUAGAUGGGUUGUUAAGUCAGUUGUGAAAGUUUGCGGCUCAACCGUAAAAUUGCAAUUGAUACUGGCAGUCUUGAGUACAGUUGAGGUAGGCGGAAUUCGUGGUGUAGCGGUGAAAUGCUUAGAUAUCACGAAGAACUCCGAUUGCGAAGGCAGCUUACUAACCUGUAACUGACAUUGAUGCUCGAAAGUGUGGGUAUCAAACAGGAUUAGAUACCCUGGUAGUCCACACGGUAAACGAUGAAUACUCGCUGUAGGCGAUAUACAGUCUGCGGCCAAGCGAAAGCAUUAAGUAUUCCACCUGGGGAGUACGCCGGCAACGGUGAAACUCAAAGGAAUUGACGGGGGCCCGCACAAGCGGAGGAACAUGUGGUUUAAUUCGAUGAUACGCGAGGAACCUUACCCGGGCUUAAAUUGCAACCGAAUAUGGCGGAAACGCUAUAGCUAGCAAUAGCGGUUGUGAAGGUGCUGCAUGGUUGUCGUCAGCUCGUGCCGUGAGGUGUCGGCUUAAGUGCCAUAACGAGCGCAACCCUUGCCGAUAGUUACUAACAGGUUAUGCUGAGGACUCUGUCGGGACUGCCAUCGUAAGAUGUGAGGAAGGUGGGGAUGACGUCAAAUCAGCACGGCCCUUACGUCCGGGGCUACACACGUGUUACAAUGGGGGGUACAGAGGGCUGCUACCACGCAAGUGGAUGCCAAUCCCAAAAACCUCUCUCAGUUCGGAUUGAAGUCUGCAACCCGACUUCAUGAAGCUGGAUUCGCUAGUAAUCGCGCAUCAGCCACGGCGCGGUGAAUACGUUCCCGGGCCUUGUACACACCGCCCGUCAAGCCAUGGGAGCCGGGGGUACCUGAAGUGCGUAACCGCAAGGAGCGCCCUAGGGUAAAACUGGUGACUGGGGCUAGGUCGUAACAAGGUAGCCG